UACGUAGGGCGCAAGCGUUGUCCGGAAUUAUUGGGCGUAAAGAGCUCGUAGGCGGCCUGUUGCGUCCGCUGUGAAAUCCCGGGGCUCAACCCCGGGCCUGCAGUGGAUACGGGCUGGCUAGAGGCAGGCAGGGGGAGAACGGAAUUCCUGGUGUAGCGGUGAAAUGCGCAGAUAUCAGGAGGAACACCGGUGGCGAAGGCGGUUCUCUGGGCCUGUACUGACGCUGAGGAGCGAAAGCGUGGGGAGCGAACAGG
rnacentral:rRNA from 1 species